rnacentral:rRNA from 1 species
GACGAACGCUGGCGGCGUGCUUAACACAUGCAAGUCGAACGGAAAGGCCCUGCUUUUGUGGGGUGCUCGAGUGGCGAACGGGUGAGUAACACGUGAGUAACCUGCCCUUGACUUUGGGAUAACUUCAGGAAACUGGGGCUAAUACCGGAUAGGAGCUCCUGCUGCAUGGUGGGGGUUGGAAAGUUUCGGCGGUUGGGGAUGGACUCGCGGCUUAUCAGCUUGUUGGUGGGGUAGUGGCUUACCAAGGCUUUGACGGGUAGCCGGCCUGAGAGGGUGACCGGCCACAUUGGGACUGAGGUACGGCCCCGACUCCUACGGGAGGGAAGAGUGGGGAAUAUUGCACCAUGGGCGGAAGCCUGAUGCAGCAACGCCGCGUGCGGGAUGACGGCCUUCGGGUUGUAAACCGCUUUCGCCUGUGACGAAGCGUGAGUGACGGUAAUGGGUAAAGAAGCACCGGCUAACUACGUG